rfam:Pelistega indica strain HM-7 Contig41, whole genome shotgun sequence.
GGCUCUUUAGCUCAGUCGGUUAGAGCGACGGAAUCAUAAUCCGCAGGUCCCCCGUUCGAAUCGGGAAGAGCCA